UGAUACUGAUUUUAAAUAUGCUCUUUCUGAGGAGGAAUGGAAAAGGGUAGAGACGAUUGCUAAGUUUUUGAAGCCAUUUUAUGAUAUCACUACAUUGUUUUCCGGAAGCAAAUAUCCAACUGCCAAUUUGUAUCUACCUAAUGUAUGGAAAAUUCAAAUGCUGUUAGAGGAAGAAAGAAAUAGUAGUGACCUAGUUAUGAAUGAGAUGGCUACAUUAAUGUUAAGGAAGUUCAAAAAAUAUUGGAGGUCUUACAGUAAGAUCUUAUCACUUGCCAUUGUCCUUGAUCCUCGAUAUAAAAUGAAGUUUGUGAAAUUUUGCUUCUCCAAAAUUGAUCCUGCGACUACUGAUGCGAAGGUAAAAAUUGUUGAAGAUCAUUUGCAAUUGUUGUUCAAAGAAUACUUGGUACCUUCGAUCUCAAUUUCCUUAAUGGAGGAGCAUGCUUAUGAUAGAUGUACCAAUGAAGCAAGGGAUAAGCUUGAGGAGUUUGAUGUGUUUGAGAACCAAGAGUCUGGUAGAGGUAAAACACAAUUAGAUUUGUACAUGGAGGAGCCUAAUCUUGAUCGUAAAGCAAAUCCAGAUUUGGAUGUGCUUGCCUUUUGGAAGGAAAAUAGACUAAGGUUUCCAGAACUCUCAUUGAUGGCAUGAAAUGUCUUGAGUUACCACUGUUGCCUCAGAGUCUACCUUUAGCAUUGGAGGUCGUAUUAUUGGAAAGUUUCAAAGCUCUAUUUUGCCUGCAAAUGCAGAGGCAAAGUUGUGUACUAGAGAUUGGCUUUGCGAACAAGAAGAUUGUAUUUAAUCAGACACUGAUGAGGAUGAAAUUGCGGUACACCUGCAGCUGCAUCUUGAUAAACUUAGUUCACAUUGAUAGGUAAAGUUGUGUAGAAAUAGUUAUGACUGGCUUAUGUAAGGAACUUACCCUUGUAUGGACUCUGGACUAAGCAGAGACAAUUGUUGAAGGAUGUUUCAGAUUUUGUUGCCAUGCUUGGGAAAAUUGCAUUUGCUAUCUAGUCUUCAGUCGUAUCUUGA